UCCCUGGUAGCUCAGCUGGUAAAGAAUCUGCCUGCAAUGCAGAAGACCCCAGUUCUAUUCCUGGGUCAGGAA
rfam:Ovis aries breed Texel chromosome 4, whole genome shotgun sequence.